UUAUUACUCCUUCCGUUCCAUAAUUCUUGUUGAGAUAUUACAUGUAUCUAGACGCUUUUUAGGAAUAGAUACUUCAUUUUUAGGCAAAUUUGAGACAAGAAUUAUGGAACGGAGAGAGUAUAUA
rnacentral:pre_miRNA from 1 species